UACGAAGGGGGCUAGCGUUGCUCGGAAUCACUGGGCGUAAAGGGUGCGUAGGCGGGUCUUUAAGUCAGGGGUGAAAUCCUGGAGCUCAACUCCAGAACUGCCUUUGAUACUGAGGAUCUUGAGUUCGGGAGAGGUGAGUGGAACUGCGAGUGUAGAGGUGAAAUUCGUAGAUAUUCGCAAGAACACCAGUGGCGAAGGCGGCUCACUGGCCCGACAUUGACGCUGAGGAGCGAAAGCUAGGGGAGCAAACGGG
rnacentral:rRNA from 1 species